AUUGAACGCUGGCGGCAGGCCUAACACAUGCAAGUCGAGCGGUAGAGAGGAGCUUGCUUCUCUUGAGAGCGGCGGACGGGUGAGUAAUGCCUAGGAAUCUGCCUGAUAGUGGGGGAUAACGUCCGGAAACGGACGCUAAUACCGCAUACGUCCUACGGGAGAAAGUGGGGGCUCUUCGGACCUCACGCUAUCAGAUGAGCCUAGGUCGGAUUAGCUAGUUGGUGGGGUAAAGGCUCAUCAAGGCGACGAUCCGUAACUGGUCUGAGAGGAUGAUCAGUCACACUGGAACUGAGACACGGUCCAGACUCCUACGGGAGGCAGCAGUGGGGAAUAUUGGACAAUGGGCGAAAGCCUGAUCCAGCCAUGCCGCGUGUGUGAAGAAGGUCUUCGGAUUGUAAAGCACUUUAAGUUGGGAGGAAGGGUCGUUACCUAAUACGUGACGAUUUUGACGUUACCGACAGAAUAAGCACCGGCUAACUCUGUGCCAGCAGCCGCCGUAAUAC
rnacentral:rRNA from 1 species